ensembl:lincRNA
CACGUGUUAAACUUGUUUUUGACCCUGCACGGGAGAAACUCGGAAAGCCAAAGAUCUGUAGGAGUCAGGUGCUUCCUGUUAAGGAUCUGACGUUAUCUGUAGGAGUCAGGUGUUGUAACUCCAUUUUGUUAAGUUCCUCCACCUAUUUGGGAAUCAUGAUUAUUAGUUGCAAGUGUUGUUAAUUUGUUUUUCUUGAGCCUGCUUUCUCUUUCCCGUGUGAACCCUCGUUCCCGUGGAGCGGGUGUUGAGGUUACUAUGGUAAUCCUAGCCCAGAAUAGUUCGGUCUUUUCCUUUAAAAGGCUGAUGCCUGCCUGCAAUAAACGUCGCCUUGAUCAGACUCUUGUCUUGGCGUCCUUCCUUUCUCUCUGCCCCAUCUCCACCCCGCUGCUCUUUCAGGUUUGAGACACUGCUGGAUAGUGCUCUGCGUCGCUGGCUCGCGACACUUAUCUAUCAAUAUCUUGGGAUUUGGGGUUUAAUCCAAUUACUAAGAGUGGCUGAAUGAUUAAAAAACAACAGGACGAGGGACAUAAUUCUGUAGUAGGGCGCUUGCCUAUGUGUAAGGUUCAAUCUUCACUGCCACCAAAAACAACUGGGAGAAAAAAAACAGUAACAAACCCCACAAAGCAAGACCCAACAUUUCAGCUGUCCAAAAGGAGCUUAAUGGCGAUAGUCUCCAGCCCAUGUCCCGCCCAUUUCCUCGUGUCUCUACCCCCUUCCCGCCUCUUGUCUGCCACACCCCCGCCUCUGCCCCGCCCACCGCCCUGUUUUCUCCCUUUUCGGGCCUCUUCCUCCUCGCCCCGCCCAUUGGGUCUCGGGUCCCGCCCAGAACGGCCUACCUCCUCGCCCCGCCCCCUGGCCCCGCCCACCCCCGUGGAUCGCUCCUACAAGCCCGCCUUACAGUGGGCUGCGCGCGCAGCACCUUGCAGACCCGGAAGUGGUUCCUGUGGAGUGGAGGUCACAGUGCCGCGCAUUGACUGCUGAAGACUCACUGCCUGAGGAAGAGGUCCAGAAGUGAAGGAAAAGGAGUCAGUAAUGGCUUUUGCUCAGGUAAAGUUGUACUUGUGACUUGUUGGUCUCUAUCCCUCCUUUCUGAAGUGCUGAGUAUAGGAGCUGCUAAUCGCUGACUCAAGUCUCCUGCCUGACAUGUUUGCUUUCACUCACCUGUUCCUCCCUCAGCCCCUCUCAGCUCCAUCUAAGAUGCUAUUUCAGGGUGACCAGGAGACAUAGAUCAUGUGAGGAGGCUCUGUUGGGCGUGGUCCUGGAAACUAAAAGGUUUGAUACUACUUAACCACUUCAUGCAUCUCUGGGGCUAUUGGAAUAAGCCUUAUAGACCUGUUUUAUGUCUGUUUUUCUUCAUGUUUAUGUGUAAGUGGGUUGUAUGUUUCUAAGAAUGUACUCAUUUCUUCUAGGUUAUCCAGUCUGUUGGCAUACAGUUGUUUAUAGGAGUGUUUUUUUACUUCUGGGACAUCAAUUAUAUUAUUUCUUCUUUCCUGUCUAAUUUGAGUUGAGUUUUUUUCAAGUAGUCUAGCUAAGGGUCAGUUAUAUUGAUCUUUCCAAGCCAACUCUUGGUUAUUUUCAUCUUUGUAUUAUUUUUUAGUUUUCUAUUUUACUUAUCUCUGUGCUAAUCUUUGUUAUUUCUCUCUUUCUGCUAACUGUAUUUAGUUUAUCUUUUUC